ACUCCUCCCACUAUUCAGUACAUUGAAUUACUCAGCCGGUUCAUGUACCGCUGCUCCCACAGAGACGAGGACACACGCGUUAUCUUCAGAGGACCAAAAACCACAGAGGACGGAGUAACUGAGAAUAUGAACCGGGACCUUUUUCAACUAGACCGAAGCCACUGACCCGGUGUGGAGCAGUUACUCACCCGGCUCUUCUCUCCUUUGUUUUCGGUGUAAACUUCAGCGCAGUCAGCAUUUAACGUUACCGACCACCCACCUCUCUCACGCUACCUUUGACACGGGCUGUCCCCGUCUGACUGUCGGGGGGAGAGACACUUUUGAGGGGAGGAAUAAAAACGAAAGCGACAACUUCACCGUGAGCGAACUGUGAAAUCAAAGAAAAGUGGUGGCAGCCCGCAGACAGGACACUUGGUAGUCAGUGGGAUGUUAGAGCUCUGGAAGCAGGACUGACUGAAGGAGCAUGGUGAAGCACCAACCCCUCCAGGUCUAUGAGCGCCAGCUGUGUUUGUCAUGUAUCACUGGGAUCUACGGUUGCCGCUGGAAACGCUAUCAACGUUCCCAUGAUGACACCACAAAGUGGGAGCUGCUGUGGUCCCUCAUCCUCCUCUUCACCUUCUGUCUGCUGCUGGUCUGGUUCUACUUCUGGUGGGAGGCGCAUAACGACUACAAUGAGUUCAACUGGUUCCUCUACAACCGCUCUGGGGAGUGGAGUGAUGGCACUGUUCCCAUCCUGGCCACCACCGCUGCUGGCUUCACCUACAUUGCAUUUUUAAUGGUUUUAGCACUUUGCCACAUUGCACUUGGGCAACAGUUGAAUUUGCACUGGCUCCAUAAGAUAGGAGUGACUGCUGCUCUGCUCACCACCAUUGUUGGGGUGAUAUCUGUCAAUCAAACAUGGGGGCAAGAGUGGGAUGUCAUACCCAUCUCCCUGCAGGCCACAGGUCCCUUUCUGCACAUAGGGGCUCUGGCUGCGGUCACAGCGCUGUCUUGGAUUGUGGCUGGACAAGUCGCCCGCGCAGAAAAAACAGUGUUCCAGGUGGUGGUCGUGCUGCUGUAUCUCAGUGUGUUAUUGGGACUCUACGUGGUGCCGCUUUACAUCACCUCCCCUUGCAUCAUGGACCCCACCACCCUGAAGCAACGCCCUGAUGUCAUUGGCCACCAGGGAGCACCCAUGCUUGCACCUGAGAACACACUGUGGUCCUUCCAGCGAGCUCUGCAGAUGAACGUCACCGGGUUGGAGGCUGACGUGGCUAUCAGUGUGGAUGGAGUGCCAUUCCUGAUGCGUGACCGCACCCUUCGGAGGACCACAGAUGUAGCGAGGGUAUUCCCAGGCAGACAAAUGGAAGACGCUUCAUCCUUCAACUGGACAGAUCUGCAGCAGCUCAACGCAGGACAGUGGUUCCUCAAGGAUGACCCCUUUUGGACGGUGCACUCCCUGUCCCAACAUGAGAAGAAUCUGAUUGCCAACCAGAGUGUGUGCAGCCUGAAGCAGCUUCUAAAGCUGGCUUCCUAUCAUAACAGCACAGUGGUCUUCCGGCUGAGGAGGCCUCCUCCGGAGCACCCCUGCUACGACAGCUGGAUCAAUGAUACACUGCAGGUUGUGCAGCAAUCUGGGCUUCCUCAGAGCCUGGUGAUGUGGACUCCAGAUGAACACAGAGCUCAGGUGAGACAGCUUGCGCCCGGUCUGAUCCAGACCUCAGUGGAGAAACGGAGUCCUCAAAGUCUCCAUCAGUACGGCAUCAGCAGGCUGCUGCUCAGAUACAACCAGGCCAGCACAUGGGAAAUCAGAAACUUCUCCCAGAGCAACAUCAACCUCACCCUUUACACCGUCAACGAGCCCUGGCUGUACUCGGUGCUCUGGUGCAGCGGGGUGUCUUCAGUCUCUUCAGAGGCCUCACAUAUCCUCAAAAAGGUGCCUUACCCCAUCUGGCUCAUGAGACCAGAUGAAUACUGCCUGAUGUGGGUGUCUGUGGACCUCAUCUCUUUUGCUGUAGUCAUAGGAGUAUUCAUUUUCCAGAAGUAUCGGAUGAGCGGUAUGCGCAGCUACAACCCUGAGCAGAUCAUGCUGAGCGCCGCAGUCAGGAGGUCCAGCAGAGACCUCAACGUCAUGAAGGAGAAACUUAUCUUCUCUGGUCAACCCCAGUAGCAGCCUGUGUGAUGUGCACCACCUCUUGUCCAUGCUACCACCUCCUCCACCAGCAGUGACUUCUUCCUUUAUUCCAUGCAUCCAUUACCUGCCACUUCUCUGCCUACUAUGCCCCUCUCCCCUUCAUCCAUCCAUCCAUCCAUCCACUCAUCCCUUCAUGCACCAAACCUCCCCACUACCCUCCCACUGGAGACACCGACAUGUGUAGGGGAGCUUAUAGAUGCCCCAGUCUGUCUAGACAGCCUCUAGUGCUGGGGGUCAAAGAGGUGGGGAAUGGAGUUGGCAGUGCUGAGGAGCUGUACGCGGACAAUGGCUACGACUACUACACCAAUCAGGGCAUCAGCCAGUGAUUGGGACUCUGUGUGAAUCUGCUGUAGCGAGACGGAGACGACUAAGCUCUCAGUGUUUACAUCAUUCCUGUUCCAGUCGGUGUGAAGUCUGAUCUCCUCCUUUGUCCUACUGAUAACCCGACAGACUGCUGUAUCUGAUGGAGAAAACAACCACCCAGUUGCUUUAUGUACAUUCUGUAAAUACUUUUGUUUCUUGCUUGUCAGACAUACUGUACAUCACACAGAACUACACGCACUUUUUAUUGAUGGGAUCCGCCAAAUCUGUGGCCGCCUCCUCUCACAUCUAGAUGUCAGAGAGUCACCGACGCCCGCUUCUUUUUAAAGAUGUGUUUCCAGAUUCUUUAUUAUUAUUUUAAGCUAAAUUUCCAAAGCAGUUCCUUGUUUCCAAACCACUGUACAUGAUACUUCUCUUAGCAGAUGAAAUUAUUUUUAGCGAGGCUUUAUGGCAGCAUGAGACUAAACGCUAACGGCUCAUUAUGCUCUUGCCUUCUGUCAGCACUCCACUGUGCUGUUGUUCAUAAUAGUACUAGCAUUAAUAUUUAUAUUUAAAGAGAAAAACAAAAAAAAAAACAUGAACAAGCUGUUUACAGAAGUCCUGCCUUCUCCUCCAAGUGAAAUAUUCACAUGGUGUAUGUAAGAUAAUUAUUUUGAUAGAGGCUGAAUGCCCCUGCGGCCCCGCCCUCCUUCUGACCAGUGCAUGUAACCGUAAUGACCAUAUCAACUGAUGUAUGUGAGCUGUGCUCCCAGUGUACCAGAAGAACUGGUGGAAAUGGUUUGGGGGUAAAGACUUGUGCUGUCUUUUUAUGGUUAAUGUGAAUGUGUUUGGAUUUUUUUUUUUUAAAGAUGUGAACGGUGUAUUGUGUGUAUAUUGGCUGGGUAUAUAUUUUUUACCCUGUGUGCAGUGCUAUGUUGAGUUUAUUGUAUAUAAAAGGUGAACCAGUGUGUGAGAUGCUGCAGCCAGCCAAGCAUUACAUUUGAACGACAUGACAGUGAUGAAUUAUUACAAUAGCAAUAGUCCGGUCACAACGGAAGCCACUACACAGCCUCUGUAUUACAGUAACGUCGUGGUGUUUUAGUGUUGACUGAUGACAUGCAUUUAAGUGUUGGCUGCUGGUGUAAACCUGACUGCUGUAAGGUAAAUGAAGUGGGUGCUAAAUGUGAAAAUAAAGCUCUGAGCUAAUUGAAGGGAAGCUACAGGUAUCACAACAGGGUCAAGAAGUGGAUUGCCUUUUGUGUUUCUAUUUUUUUCUUUGGGUGUUACUGUGCCUCAGAAGUAAACAUUAAAAAAAUCUUCUAAUA